GCCUUGUUACCUACGGUACCAGG
rnacentral:miRNA from 10 species